rnacentral:ncRNA from 1 species
AGUCUUCAGGGCAGGGUGCAAGUCCCUACCGGUGGUAUAGCCCACGAGCCGCAAGGCAUGAUUCGGUGAAAUUCCGAAGCCGACAGUAUAGUCUGGAUGGAAGAAGAA